rnacentral:rRNA from 1 species
AUUGAACGCUGGCGGCAUGCCUUACACAUGCAAGUCGAACGGCAGCACGGGAGCUUGCUCCUGGUGGCGAGUGGCGAACGGGUGAGUAAUGCAUCGGAACGUACCCGGAAGUGGGGGAUAACGUAGCGAAAGUUACGCUAAUACCGCAUAUUCUGUGAGCAGGAAAGAGGGGGAUCGCAAGACCUCUCGCUUUCGGAGCGGCCGAUGUCGGAUUAGCUAGGUGGUGGGGUAAAGGCCUACCACGGCGACGAUCCGUAGCGGGUCUGAGAGGAUGAGCCGCCACACUGGAACUGAGACACGGUCCAGACUACUACGGGAGGCAGCAGUGGGGAAUUUUGGACAAUGGGCGAAAGCCUGAUCCAGACAUGCCGCGUGAGUGAAGAAGGCCUUCGGGUUGUAAAGCUCUUUCGGCUGAAAAGAAAUCGCACAGGCUAAUACCCUGUGUGGAUGACGGUAUCAGCAUAAGAAGCACCGGCUAACUACGUGCCAGCAGCCGCGGUAA